CUUGGGAAUGGCGAGGAAACCGUUACCAUUACUGAGUUUAGUGAUGGUAACGGUUCUCUUGCUGUACCCAGA
ensembl:miRNA MIR451A microRNA 451a